rnacentral:rRNA from 1 species
GAUGAACGCUGGCGGCGUGCCUAAUACAUGCAAGUCGAGCGAACAGACGAGGAGCUUGCUCCUCUGACGUUAGCGGCGGACGGGUGAGUAACACGUGGAUAACCUACCUAUAAGACUGGGAUAACUUCGGGAAACCGGAGCUAAUACCGGAUAACAUGUUGAACCGCAUGGUUUAACAGUGAAAGACGGUCUUGCUGUCACUUAUAGAUGGAUCCGCGCCGCAUUAGCUAGUUGGUAAGGUAACGGCUUACCAAGGCAACGAUGCGUAGCCGACCUGAGAGGGUGAUCGGCCACACUGGAACUGAGACACGGUCCAGACUCCUACGGGAGGCAGCAGUAGGGAAUCUUCCGCAAUGGGCGAAAGCCUGACGGAGCAACGCCGCGUGAGUGAAGAAGGUCUUCGGAUCGUAAAACUCUGUUAUUAGGGAAGAACAAAUGCGUAAGUAACUAUGCACGUCUUGACGGUACCUAAUCAGAAAGCCACGGCUAACUACGUG